UGAACGCUGGCGGCGUGCUUAACACAUGCAAGUCGAACGAACCUUCGGGUUAGUGGCGGACGGGUGAGUAACGCGUGAGAAUCUGCCCUCAGGAGGGGGAUAACGGUUGGAAACGACCGCUAAUACCCCAUAUGCCUACUGGUGAAAUGAAUUUCGCCUGAGGAUGAGCUCGCGUCUGAUUAGCUAGUUGGUGAGGUAAUGGCUCACCAAGGCUUCGAUCAGUAGCUGGUCUGAGAGGAUGAUCAGCCACACUGGGACUGAGACACGGCCCAGACUCCUACGGGAGGCAGCAGUGGGGAAUUUUCCGCAAUGGGCGAAAGCCUGACGGAGCAACGCCGCGUGAGGGACGAAGGCCUCUGGGCUGUAAACCUCUUUUCUCAAGGAAGAAGAUA
rnacentral:rRNA from 1 species